AUACGGAGGGUGCAAGCGUUACUCGGAAUCACUGGGCGUAAAGCGCGCGCAGGCGGCUUGAUAAGUUGGAUGUGAACGCCUACGGCUCAACCGUAGAACUGCAUCCAAAACUGUCAAGCUAGAGUCUGGGAGGGGAAGAUGGAAUUAGUUGUGUAGGGGUAAAAUCCGUAGAGGUAACUAGGAAUACCAAAAGCGAAGGCGAUCUUCUGGAACAGUCCUGACGCUGAGGCGCGAAAGCGUGGGGAGCAAACAGGAUUAGAUACCCCAGUAGUCC
rnacentral:rRNA from 1 species